GUGACGAGAUUGGUCUUAGCCGAGGCGUGACGUGGGGAACGAUUGCUGA
rnacentral:snoRNA from 1 species